UGGUGGGUUAGGUUAAAUCAUCUUUACUU
rnacentral:piRNA from 1 species